AGAGUGUCAACAAGUUAUGUAGAUCUUAUCAGCAUGGCAUUUUUGGUGCCUCCCAGCUAUCCGGCUGGGCUCCAUCAGCCUGUUAACACCUUCCAGCUUCCUACGCACCAUGAGCCUAUCAACACCUCGGGAGGCUCUGCCCCAGCAAGGCCUGCCUCCCCAGCGCCCCAAGGAGCCCGAAUUUUCUUUCUUUCCCUCUCCACUCUCGAUCCCAUCAUACCAUCCGCUCAGUAUGCACGAGGACCUGCCGCCCUUCCUCUGCCAACUGCUGUGACUUAGCUGGGGCCAAACCAUCUAUGAAAUUGAACACUAACUUUGAAAGAGUACUCAAGGUGGAAAAUUCUGACAUCCUCACACAUGAAGGAAGAGAAUGUAUAGUUUCAGGAAUGUGGGAAAUGGUGCAAAGUCAUCAUUCAAGUAUUUUAAGUGUGUGUGCGAGGUGUUUUUACCUUUGCAGAUAAAACAUCUCAAUUUUGCAAAAUUAUGGAGAAAGGAUAAGAUGUGAGACUUGUGGAGAUUUCUUUCUCCACCCCUGCUAAAAAUAAAGUCAACAAAACUCCACUCCUCCUCUCAUAGUUCUGGUCAUGUAUAUACAUUACUUCAUGAUAAUGCUGCCUUUCAGAUGUAAUUUUGCUUAACGAUACAAAAAGAAAAGGGCAUUUAUUUAGACUAAUGAAAAUGGCAGGCUUUGCAUCUCGGCUUUCUUUUACAAUUAUCUGUUCAUUACAGUAAAGUCAGUGAAUGGCUCUCCUUGUUUGUUUUCUUUUUUAGGCAGCUUUAAGUGCCUUGAAACAAUUUUCUGAACAAGGACUGGAUCCAAUCGAUGGGGCAAUGAAUAUUGAAAAAAGUUCUCUUGAAAAACAAGCCAAGCAGCUGAGAGAGAAAGUGGAGGAUGACCAGGCGCCCCCCGGCUCCAUGGCUCAGGACUGCAAGAAAUCAAGCCCCGUCUAGCAGCUCCCAGAACCCGCCGCCGCCACCGCAUCCUUAUAAACCUGUCAGCACGCAUGAGGGUGUCCGUGUUCAGGGAAAUGAAUGACUAAUACCAUCAUUUGAGAGUCUCAUGUGAAGACAACACUAUUCUAACACAAGAGAUAAUAUACAUGGUACUGUUUAUUCAACUGGGGGAAAAUAAAACUUUUGAGCAUUUCCCUUGGAACUUGAGAUCAGAUCAUAACUCAUUUGCCCCGAGGCGGCAGAAAUCUGAUCCUGCUACUGGAGCUUAAAAUAACAAGUAAAGAAAAGUGUUAGAAACAGAGCUAAAAUUUUCAAAUGAUUAAUAGAGAAGUUGGGUUUGGUUCCGUUGUUAUGAUUGUUUUGUCGUGGCACUUGUGUUCACUUAUACUCUCUCUCUCUCUCUCUCUCUCAUUUCAAAUAAUGCUUGACAAUUCGCAAACUAACCAAUGACGUGCUGUGGAAUGUGAUGGUCGUUGUCUUCAUAUAGAGUCACAUGGUUUCUCUUUUUAUGCAGAUAUUUGUAAUCUUCAUCCUAUAUCAAUAUGAAUAACUUUAAGGUGCACUAUGGAAAGAUGUAUGCAAACAUGUUUUAAAUCAGGUCAGGUAUUUGAUUAAAAAUAUCAACUCAUGUUAGGAGCAAGUAGUUUCAAUGUACUCCAGGAAUUUCAAAACAAAACAAGACGAAGCAGUCGUGCGUUUUGAGCUCCAUAUACUCUUAGCAACUAAGGCGGCGUCUUGCCCCUACACAUCAUUUUCCUGGAUCUCCCUCUGUCGUGGGAGUCGCAUCCACCCCCAUCCGUGUGUUGUAGCCACUCACGGUUUGCAUCAAGAGUGUUUUUAGUAACUGCCUCUGGCCUUGGGACAGUGAGUAGGGGCAAAGUAACUAACGUCCGUGGCGGGCAGGGAAAGCCUGUUGGAGAUGUUCAUAGCCAGCCACGCUCUGGACCAGCAUGUUGGAAUCCAGUGCAGAGCAAAUGCAGUAAAAAUUUGAUCGGUUUCUGUGUGAA